UUAAGUGACACAGGACUAGAUAUAUGAGGCACUGUGCCAAGCUUCUAGAAAUGACUCAGUACACAUUUGCACUUCCCCUUUUCCUCUGCUCUUUCCCUCAGUCUUACUUCCCACGACAAUCUCCUCCAGCAGCAGGCACGGCGUGAGCCUCAUGGCGCAUCCACCCUGGGAAUUCCGGGAGCCUGACACUGACAACCAACGUGUCACACUCACAGGGACCAGGAGGGCACCCAGGAAAGGUGACGACUGUGGCAUGGAGGAUCAGGCUGCUGACACAUCAGGCUUAAGGCUCGGAACAAAAAGGGGAGAUAAGCCUGCCCCAAGUACGGUUCAGAAUCUGCAGAUAAAGAGGAGGAAGCCAGAGGGAAGAAUACUGAGGAGGAGAUCUGAUGGUUUGGGGUUGAGACUGUGGUGGUGAAGGCUGAGGCAACCUUGGUGCUGGACAGAGAAGGUUUUGAUUCUGGUGUGACGGGAAGAUGAGAGAAAUAUCCCUGGGCUGGGACGGAAGGAACGGAAACCCGAGAGAGGGGACAGAAACCGUGGCUGUGGCGGCUGGUGGGUGAGGCCGCCCGUGCCGCCAGCUCUGCCUGCU